rnacentral:rRNA from 1 species
AGCGAACGCUGGCGGCAGGCCUAACACAUGCAAGUCGAACGAACCUUUCGGGGUUAGUGGCGGACGGGUGAGUAACACGUGGGAACGUGCCUUUAGGUUCGGAAUAACUCAGGGAAACUUGUGCUAAUACCGAAUGUGCCCUUCGGGGGAAAGAUUUAUCGCCUUUGAGUGGCCCGCGUCUGAAUAGCUAGUUGGGUGAGGUAAUGGCCCACCAAGGCGACGAUCAGUAGCUGGUCUGAGAGGAUGAUCAGCCACAUUGGGACUGAGACACGGCCCAAACUCCUACGGGAGGCAGCAGUGGGGAAUCUUGCGCAAUGGGCGAAAGCCUGACGCAGCCAUGCCGCGUGAAUGAUGAAGGUCUUAGGAUUGUAAAAUUCUUUCACCGGGGACGAUAAUGACGGUACCCGGAGAAGAAGCCCCGGCUAACUUCGUG